rnacentral:tRNA from 1 species
GCGGUCAUGGCGGAAUUGGCAGACGCGCUAGAUUCAGGUUCUAGUGUCCGAAAGGAUGUGGAGGUUCAAGUCCUCUUGACCGCACCA